UACGUAGGGGCUAGCGUUGUCCGGAUUAUUGGGCGUAAAGAGCGUGUAGGCGGCCAGGUAGGUCCGUUGUGAAAACUCGAGGCUCAACCUCGAGACGUCGGCGGAAACCCUCUGGCUAGAGUCCGGAAGAGGAGAGUGGAAUUCCUGGUGUAGCGGUGAAAUGCGCAGAUAUCAGGAAGAACACCCGUGGCGAAGGCGGCUCUCUGGGACGGUACUGACGCUGAGACGCGAAAGCGUGGGGAGCAAACAGG
rnacentral:rRNA from 1 species